GAUGAACGCUGGCGGCGUGCCUAAUACAUGCCAGUCGAGCGAACAGACGAGGAGCUUGCUCCUCUGAUGUUAGCGGCGGACGGGUGAGUAACACGUGGAUAACCUACCUAUAAGACUGGGAUAACUUCGGGAAACCGGAGCUAAUACCGGAUAACAUGUUGAACCGCAUGGUUCAACAGUGAAAGACGGUCUUGCUGUCACUUAUAGAUGGAUCCGCGCCGCAUUAGCUAGUUGGUAAGGUAACGGCUUACCAAGGCAACGAUGCGUAGCCGAGCUGAGAGGGUGAUCGGCCACACUGGAACUGAGACACGGUCCAGACUCCUACGGGAGGCAGCAGUAGGGAAUAUUGCGCAAUGGGCGAAAGCCUGACGGAGCAACGCCGCGUGAGUGAAGAAGGUCUUCGGAUCGUAAAACUCUGUUAUUAGGGAAGAAAAAAUGUGUAAGUAACUAUGCACGUCUUGACGGUACCUAAUCAGAAAGCCACGGCUAACUACGUG
rnacentral:rRNA from 1 species